AACCCACCUUUAACAAGGCACCUAGGAGCUUUAAUGCAUCAGAAAUGGCAGACAAAUGGACAAAAAGUUUGUGUAUGUUAGGUAGUCUUUUACUUUAGACCAUGAAAUGAAGCAUAAGAGUAUUCAGUUGUUAUCGAAGGAGAUGGAUGAAGCAACCUAACCCCCAAGAAACUUUUUAGGCCUUUGUUGGGUGAUGGUAUUUUAACAUGGGCCCAUCAUAGAAAGAUCUUAGCUCCAGAAUUAUACAUCGAUAAAGUUAAAGUAGGUAAAUAAUAAUAAGGUCUUAAUUUCAUUUUUUUGAAAAUAAUUGAAGUCAAAUAACAUAAUACAUAACCAACAGCACUCACUAGAUGUAUUAUUUUUGCUUGCUUGACGAUGAAACAAAUUAAAUAUGAUGGAUGAAUACAAAGCCACAUUUCAUAGAAUAAAGCACUUAAUUAAAU
rnacentral:lncRNA from 1 species